ACCUUAUAUAAAUGUAUUAAACGCAAGACAGUUUAGCAUUUCCCUUUAAGGUAGUGUUAGUUAGAAACUUUAACGAUAAGUACUAUUGUGUAGCUUUAAGAGUUGAAAUAGUAUGAGUUAAAGUGGAAUAGGUUAACCGUAAGACCUUAAGUUGAUAAACUUUAAAAUUGAUUUUAUUAGUUUUUAUAACUAAUAAAUUACGGUGAA
rnacentral:sRNA from 12 species